GACGAACGCUGGCGGCGUGCUUAACACAUGCAAGUCGAACGGAAAGGCCCUGCUUUUGUGGGGUGCUCGAGUGGCGAACGGGUGAGUAACACGUGAGUAACCUGCCCUUGACUUUGGGAUAACUUCAGGAAACUGGGGCUAAUACCGGAUAGGAGCUCCUGCUGCAUGGUGGGGGUUGGAAAGUUUCGGCGGUUGGGGAUGGACUCGCGGCUUAUCAGCUUGUUGGUGGGGUAGUGGCUUACCAAGGCUUUGACGGGUAGCCGGCCUGAGAGGGUGACCGGCCACAUUGGGACUGAGAUACGGCCCAGACUCCUACGGGAGGCAGCAGUGGGGAAUAUUGCACAAUGGGCGGAAGCCUGAUGCAGCAACGCCGCGUGCGGGAUGACGGCCUUCGGGUUGUAAACCGCUUUCGCCUGUGACGAAGCGUGAGUGACGGUAAUGGGUAAAGAAGCACCGGCUAACUACGUGCCAGCAGCCGCGGUGAUACGUAGGGUGCGAGCGUUGUCCGGAUUUAUUGGGCGUAAAGGGCUCGUAGGUGGUUGAUCGCGUCGGAAGUGUAAUCUUGGGGCUUAACCCUGAGCGUGCUUUCGAUACGGGUUGACUUGAGGAAGGUAGGGGAGAAUGGAAUUCCUGGUGGAGCGGUGGAAUGCGCAGAUAUCAGGAGGAACACCAGUGGCGAAGGCGGUUCUCUGGGCCUUUCCUGACGCUGAGGAGCGAAAGCGUGGGGAGCGAACAGGCUUAGAUACCCUGGUAGUCCACGCUGUAAACGGUGGGUACUAGGUGUGGGGUCCAUUCCACGGGUUCCGUGCCGUAGCUAACGCUUUAAGUACCCCGCCUGGGGAGUACGGCCGCAAGGCUAAAACUCAAAGGAUUGACGGGGCCCCGCACAAGCGGCGGAGCAUGCGGAUUAAUUCGAUGCAACGCGUAGAACCUUACCUGGGUUUGACUUGGAUCGGGAGUGCUCAGAGAUGGGUGUGCCUCUUUUGGGGUCGGUUCACGGGUGGUGCAUGGCUGUCGUCAGCUCGUGUCGUGAGAUGUUGGGUUAAGUCCCGCAACGAGCGCAACCCUUGUUCACUGUUGCCAGCACGUUAUGGUGGGGACUCAGUGGAGACCGCCGGGGUCAACUCGGAGGAAGGUGGGGAUGACGUCAAGUCAUCAUGCCCCUUAUGUCCAGGGCUUCACGCAUGCUACAAUGGCUGGUACAGAGAGUGGCGAGCCUGUGAGGGUGAGCGAAUCUCGGAAAGCCGGUCUCAGUUCGGAUUGGGGUCUGCAACUCGACCUCAUGAAGUCGGAGUCGCUAGUAAUCGCAGAUCAGCAACGCUGCGGUGAAUACGUUCCCGGG
rnacentral:rRNA from 1 species